CUAGAGACUUCUCCUUGUUUCCCCUGGUUCGGUACCUCCCCUCACACAAAUUUAGCUGAACAUUCGCUCCCUGGCACUCGUUCACAACGAGCAUGCAAAUAGACUUCAGUGGUACUUAGCCACGAUCACUCUGGAACUGUUUUCAGCUAUGUGAUCUUGCUGUUCCUGGUCAUAUUGGUCUGGUGUUUUGACAUCCUUCCGACCCACCAGGAGAGUGCUUUUUGGAGAAAAAUGCCCGAGACUGGAAGGAACAAACGCUC